GACGAACGCUGGCGGCGUGCUUAACACAUGCAAGUCGAACGGUGACGAGGAGCUUGCUCCUCUGAUCAGUGGCGAACGGGUGAGUAACACGUGAGUAACCUGCCCCAGACUCUGGAAUAACAGUUGGAAACAGCUGCUAAUACCGGAUACGAGACGGAGAGGCAUCUCUACCGUCUGGAAAGUUUUUCGGUCUGGGAUGGACUCGCGGCCUAUCAGCUUGUUGGUGAGGUAAUGGCUCACCAAGGCGACGACGGGUAGCCGGCCUGAGAGGGCGACCGGCCACACUGGGACUGAGACACGGCCCAGACUCCUACGGGAGGCAGCAGUGGGGAAUAUUGCACAAUGGGCGAAAGCCUGAUGCAGCAACGCCGCGUGAGGGAUGACGGCCUCGGUUGUAACCGUACUGUUGUACGGGUAAGGAAGGAGUAGUGACGGUACCGUACGACGAAAGACCCCGGACCGAAACGUAACGUCGCCACGCAGCCGCGGUAAGUAUCACGUGUAC
rnacentral:rRNA from 1 species